rnacentral:rRNA from 1 species
UACGUAGGGACCGAGCGUUGUCCGGAUUCAUUGGGCGUAAAGAGCUCGUAGGCGGCCACUCAAGUCGAAUGUGAAACCUCGAGGCUUAACCUCGAGCCUGCAUUCGAUACUGGGCGGCUAGAGUCUGGUAGGGGGAUCUGGAAUUCCUGGUGUAGCGGUGAAAUGCGCAGAUAUCAGGAGGAACACCGGUGGCGAAGGCGGAUCUCUGGGCCAUUACUGACGCUGAGGAGCGAAAGCCAGGGGAGCAAACGGG